rnacentral:sRNA from 1 species
GUCGUGAGAUGUUGGGUUAAGUCCCGCAACGAGCGCAACCCUCGUCCCUAGUUACCAGCGGGUUAUGCCGGGCACUCUAGGGAGACUGCCGGUGUCAAACCGGAGGAAGGUGGGGAUGACGUCAAGUCAUCAUGCCCCUUAUGUCCAGGGCUGCAAACACGCUACAAUGGCCGGUACAAAGGGCUGCAAGUUCGUGAGGACAAGCGAAUCCCGUAAAGCCGGUCUCAGUUCGGAUUGGAGGCUGCAACUCGCCUCCAUGAAGCUGGAGUUGCUAGUAAUCCCGGAUCAGCACGCCGGGGUGAAUACGUUCCCGGGCCUUGUACACACCGCCCGUCACACCACGAAAGUCGGCAACACCCGAAGCCGGUGGCCUAACCCGUAAGGGGAGGAGCCGUCGAAGGUGGGGUCGGUGAUUGGGGUGAAGUCGUAACAAGGUAGCCGUACCGGAAGGUGCGGCUGGAUCACCUCCUUUCUAAGGAGCACACGUUCAAUCGUUGGCCGGCAUUCGUCCGGCCCGGUUCGAACCAGUUCCCAGUUGGUGCACUGGUGGGUCAGUCGAGCGUCGUCGAGGGUCGCAGGAUCCGUCCUCCUCUCGAUUUCGAAUCGACUGUCCUUGUCUUCUCUUCCGUUUUGAGGGAGCCGACCCAACCUUGGGUUGGUCGCCUCAGCGUCGGGUACGAGCGGUUCACACCGCUCCGCUACCGCAGCGCUCCGCCGUCGCCGGCUGUUGAACGUGCACUCGCACGAUCUGGCCGACGACGAGCUCGAGAGCGCUGUGCGCCGCCCUUUGAGAACUGCAGAGCAAGCACGAGCAUCUACACAGGGGUUCGCCCCUGUGGAAAAUUUGUUCUUCCAAGCUACAAAGAGCCAACGGUGGAUGCCUUGGCGCCAAGAACCGAUGAAGGACGUGAGUGACUGCGAAAAGCUGCGGGGAGCCGUCUACUGGGCCUCGAUCCGCAGAUGU